GCUUACAGUAAAUUUGAUGAUGGAUGCACUGACAUUCUUGAAGUGCAGUCAUUCCUUAGAGAGAAUCUGUGGUUUCUGCUAGGAGAUAGAGACACCAAUCACUUCUUCUGAAUAACUUUUGUCAAAUUGAGUGUUUUGGUGUGUGUUUCCAGUGUGGUCAGAAUUUUGAAUUCUACUUUCUUGCAAUAUUCAACUUUCAUGGUCAGUGGUACUUCAUUAGAGGAAAUAUCUAUUUUAGAUCAAAAUGUAUGGCUG
rnacentral:misc_RNA from 1 species